UUAUCGCACUCCUCAAAUCCCCUUCGCUGGCAGAACAAAUAUUCUCCACCAAACUCAACAACUUUGGAGACUUGGGAACACCCUCUUUACGUAGAAUAGAGCCAAGGCAUUUUUUCAUGUAUGUCGGCGCAAUAGGAUUAAACUGUAAAACUGUUACACGUGGAUCCUGAAGUAGAUCAUUACCCAUUAUCUGCACGCUAUUAAAGGAAUUUCGAUCUUGACUAUUAAUACCUUCCAAGUUGUUUAACUGUAUUUCUGUAAGAACCAUGAUGAUGGAAAAGGCGCCUCGCGAUGUCAAUGCG